GGAGGGAUGGCAGAGCUGGUUUAACGCGGCGGUCUUGAAAACCGUUGAGGGUUAACGCCCUCCGGGGGUUCGAAUCCCUCUCCCUCCGCCA
rnacentral:tRNA from 1 species